rnacentral:rRNA from 1 species
UACCCCCACCGAACCGCAUGGUUUGGUGAGGAAAUGGAUUCCGCUUCGGGAGGGCUUCGCGGCCUAUCAGCUAGUUGGUAGGGGUAACGGCCCACCAAGGCAUCGACGGGUAGCUGGUCUGAGAGGACGAUCAGCCACACUGGGACUGAGACACGGCCCAGACUCCUACGGGAGGCAGCAGGUGGGGAAUUCUUGCGCAAGUGGGACGAAAGCCUGACGCAGCAACGCCGCGUGGGGAUGAAGGCUCUCGGGUUGUAAACCCCUUUCAGCAGGGACGAAUCAAGACGGUACCUGCAGAAGAAGCCCCGGCUAACUACGUG